rnacentral:lncRNA from 1 species
CUCUCUCUCUCUCUCACACACACACACACACACACAGCCCGUCUCGCGCCUGAGGUCUCGCCCGCAGGCCGGUGGCGCGGGGUCAGCUGCUGCCUGCGGUCCAGGACAGGGUCGGUUCCGCCGCGCAGCGCCCAGGCCCAGCUCGUCCAGAGUCUGCGGACAGCGCACGUCCAGACAUCGCCCACUCGGGCUCACAGUGCCAUCCGGGUGAGGACCUCCGUGGAGAGCUCUCUUUGCCAAAGAAAAGCAGUUGCAUUAGGUCUGCGAGCAGGCAGGGUGGCCUCUUCCUGGCUCCCCAUCCACCAAGGAAGCUUCAAGUCCCUGGGACACAGGCACUUUCCCACACAGGAUGGAGCCGGGCCACCCUCACAGCUCCUGCCCUGCAGACGCUGGCCUUGUGGAGGGAGGCAGGCAGCAGGAGCAGUGCUUUCUGGGCCUCUGUAGCCAGAGCUGGCCCUGCUGCAGCUUACGUCUGCCUGCAGCCCAGACGUCCUCCUGGUCCUCCUGAUGCCCCCGACCUCCACGGAGGACGAGCAUUUCCAGCCCAGCCCUCCCCAUCUUCACCUCGCACUCCCCUGACACACUGGGAGCCUCCUGAUCCGUGAACCCGCGCUGGCGGGAGUAGCUACUGACCGCUGGGGACCCCUGCCCAGGCUGUUCGCAUGUGGAAAGGAUUCAGGGAGCAGGCGAUGCCCAAAGCGUGGAGACCAGCACUGCUCUCUCCCCAGUGACAGGUGCACGCCCAGAUCACGGAUGUGUCGGGAACAGCUGUGCUCCUGCUGCUCAGCGUCCGUCACUCCAGGCUGGGAGCGGGUCCCCAAGCUUCUGGCUGGGCCUAUCCGUCUCCACUCUCAGUGUGGGGGUGGGGGGCGCCAACAGCACGCAUUUGCUCUCUGCACUUCUCGUCUGAUAAUGGGCAGAGGGUCCUUCUGCAGCCCCAAAACAUCCCUAGGCAGGAGCCCUGGGGCCCCAAGCAGCCAGGGAGGUGAGCACCAAGGACCUCCCAGAGAGCGUCACCUUCCGUCGAGGGAGGCCCAGCCUGGGGGCGGUGUCUGAGACUUGGAAUCAACGCUUCCGUUGGUGGCAGUAAAUCCUGUCCCUAACCCUGCAGUACAGCUGUGCCGUGUACAGGAGGGUGCUGUCUGACGCCAGACACCUGGACUACAGAUCGCAGCCUGAUUCCUGGUCAUUGCUCCACUGAACCCCAGACCCCAGCCUCGUUCUGGGCCCUCAUCCCCUAGAUCCAGGGACCCCAGCCCCAUUUCAGCCCUUGGGCCCUUGUAGGAUGCGAGGCCCUGGGCCCCAGCCCCCAGCCCAUCCGUGGCCCAGGCACUGGGGGGCUGAGGUCCUCUGAGAAGGGACACAGGGCCUGGGGGGCUCUCUCAGCCCAUCAGCAGGAGAGGACUGACUCCAGAAAAAUCAGCGUUUGUACCCACUCAGGCUGCCAAGACCUGUGUCCGUCCUUCCAAGCUCAACCUUCAGAGUUCAUGAGGCCCCUUGCCCAGAAUGUCCACAGAGUUCAUGAGGCCCCUUGCCCGGAAUGUCCACAUUUGAAACCUCCCAACACCGAGCCCCAUUUCAAGUAUAACCAGGAGGGAAAAUGGUGCUUGAAAUAAGCAUGCCACAAAGGAAAACCUGCUUUCUCGAAAUGGGCCCUGGCCGCCCAGGCCCUGACCUCCCCGGCCAGGAUGGAACGUUCCAGAGACCCAUUAGUGCCAAAGGCAAAUGAAAACACACCCUGUGAAAAUGUC